rnacentral:lncRNA from 10 species
GUUAGGAGGGAAGGGCCGGGUUCCACCUCUUUCGGGGCUGGCAGGACCCUGAUCCUUUCGGGGUGAGCUCUCAUUGGCUGAGGAGGGUGUGGGGCCCUGCAGAGGUCGCCCCAGGGAACAGCACCUUGCACCCUCUCCUGCUCCCUGUGCCUGGGGAAACCACACAUUCUUGAAUGGUUGCCUCCAGGGCUUAUGAUUUUGGGGAAUCAACAUGCAGCCCUCCCUGCUCCAUCACCUCCCAGCAAGUCCCCAGGGGUACGGCAUCCCCAGCCCCUUUUAUCUGUGGUCCCCACACUCAGCUGUCACUGCUGGGGGUCUUGAGUUGCAGCCCCAUUUGGCGUUCAUUACCAAAGGAGGGUGGGACACCAGGCAUGUUUCGAGGGAAUCAGCCUAGCGUUGGCAGCCGGAUGGGAUGAGGCUUUUCCAGGUGCAGGAGCACACGGGCCACAGGUGUCAGAGGAAGGGAGCAAGGCACACCUCUAUCCUCCCCAGGAAAUGGGAUUUGCUGGCUGCAGAGGAGCCUGUGGGAGCUCCCUGAUGCCCCGGAGAGGACAUGAUGUGCUCUCAGAGGCUCAGCACCUGUCAGUCAAAGCUGAGGUUCGCCAAUGUGUUUGGGAGGUUGUGUGUCCUGCCUGGUGGAUGCGUGUGAGGCUGUCAGUCACUCGGGCUGGCUCUCCAGUGCCUUGAGGAGCCUCCUGAAGAGGUCAAGCUCAGCCAAGCACUCAUGACCUUCACGGAGCUUCCAGGCCGAAGCUAGGAGCACCUUGUUUCAUCAAGAGGCCGCAGCAGCCUGGCCCCACCUGAGCUCACGCCCGGCCUUCACACGCCUCCCUUCAGCAGCACCUCAGUUGACCCUCAGUCAUUGCAGAUUCGCCACUUGUGAAACUACCCACUUGCUGAAUUCAUUUUCCCCAAAUCAGUACUUGGUGCUUUUAUGGUGUUUUGAUGACAUCGGAAGAAUGAUGAAAAGUCUGUGUCUCCAAGGCCCAGGUUCCCAGCAGAGUGGCCACUGCCCUCUGGUUUCAGCUCAUGCUGUAAACAAGUGCUCUCCACACCGUAGUUAGUCUCACAUUUUCAUGCUUUUUGUUAGAAAUUUUGCUGUUAAACACAGCCUCAAGCGCCGUGAGGAAGUGCCGUUGCUAGUCUUCCUGGGUGAGGGGAGGCGGUGCUGUGCCUCACGUUGAGAAGCUGCCCUAGGCAGUGACUUGGGUGUUGACAUGGUUUGGCUCUGCGUCCUGCACAAAUCUCAGGAGAAACUGUAAUUCCCAGUGUUGGAGGAGGGGCCUGGCGGGAGGCAACUGGGUCACGGGGGCAGAUUUCCCCCUUGCUGUUCUCGUGAUCAUGAGUGAGUUCUCAUGAGAUCUGGCUGUUUGAAAGUGUGUAGCACCUCCCCCUUCUCUCUCUCUCUUCCUCCUCCCGCCAUGUGAGACGUGUCUGCUUUCCCUUUGCCUUCUGCCAUGAUUAAACACACAUAAAACAAGCUUAUGUAUUGAUUGGCUGAUGAGAAUGGGACCAGAGGCUUUCAGGAGAUUCACCAGAGGAGUGAUGGUUCGGGACUCACUGACUCAAUGUUGGCAGUGACUUGAUGGAACAUAAUGACAGUGAGGAGCUGCCGUCACUUUAGGAUAUCUCUUUCCUCAUCCUUUCCGUCUGCCUCAUUGAGCUGCCAACUCACUGCUGAGUCAGCACCACCCAGCAAAGAUAUUCCCAGAUCCUGGACUUUCAGAAAUGGUGUGAGAUCAUCAAUAUUUGUUGACUAGGCUGCUAAGUGUUUGGUGACUUUGUUUCGGAGCCAUAGAUGGCUGACACGCAGGCUUCAUCCACAGAAGCAGGAGGCUGCACUAAAGACCAUGCUGGAUCCCUCGGCUGCUGGUCCUGGGGUCCUGUUGCACUCACCCUGUUGGCGUGGUCUCCCCUCUGGAGCCUGACCCUCUGCCCAUCACCUGUAGUGUCUGCAACGCAGGGAAACAGCUGGGCAGGGUUUGUUAGAGACAGCUGCUUGCGGGAGGGAUGGGACUUCCUCUGCAGGCACAACACUCAUUGGCACUGCUCGGGGACUCCCAACUUUCAGAAUUCUGAAGGCAACCCACAAAUAGGUUGAGAAUGUUAGUAUUUCCCCCAAUUUAACAAAAGUAGAAAUACCAAGUGGAUACAAUACAAAAGCUUACAACUUAUUAUUUUUUUUUUUUUGAGACAGAGUUUCGCUCUUGUGGCCCAGGCUGGAGUGCAAUGGCACGAUCUCAGCUCAUGGCAACCUCCGCCUCCCGGGUUCAAGCAAUUCUCCUGCCUUAGCCUCUCUAGUAGCUGGGAAUACAGGCAUGUGCCACCACACCCGGCUAAUUUUGUAUUUUUAGUAGAGACGGGGUUUCUCCAUGUUGGUAAAGCUGGUCUGGAACUCCUGACCUCAGGCGAUCUGCCUGCCUCAGCCUCCCAAAGUACUGGGAAAACAGGCGUGAGCCACUGUGCCCGGCCAUUUUGUCUUCUUCAUUAUUCUCUUCCAGAUAAGGUUUCUGGCUGCAUGAAUACCAUUGCCCCCCUUUCACCUCGAAACUCAAUCGCAUAAACACUUUUGAUUCAUGUUUAGCCGGUGGUUAUUAAGGGAUCUAAGUCUUCUUGCCUCACCUUUCAUGGAGAAUCCCUUCUUGGGCAGAAUGAGGCUGGCCUGAGUGCCCAUCUUCACAGAACUAUUUUGGCCUCUCCUUCCACCACUAUCUGGGUGUAGUGAGAACGAAGCUCCGGCUUCUCAGCAAUGGUGGUUGGUGUUUAAAAACCUUCAGUUGGUUUCAGGACAGGCACUGCCGGAGCUCCACACGAAGCUCUGCAGCCACGCCCAAGGGCAGCCUGUUCUGUUGGCCACACAGGGCCCUGCGUGUCACUUGUCAUGUGUAACAAAUCUCCCAAACAGCAGCCGGCAGCACCCCAAACCCACAGGCCCGCUUGGCCACCACAUUCAGCAGCUGUUACCUUUGCUCAUCAAUGGCCGUUCAAACGGCUGCCUAUUGAUCGUGGGCCUAGAAAGGCACAGCUGAGCUCGUUCAAAGACGUUUGUCACGGAGCCACAGGUUUCCAUCUUGACCUUCUUGCCCUGGUUUUCAUUCCUCCUUCUCUUCUCCCACAUUCCUCCGACUCUCACUUUUGUUUGCAAACCUCUGGCAAAAUGCAGCGUCAUUCUUUUUAGGUCGUAACAGUCAUGGUGGCCGUUGUGCUCCAGCUCUCAGGACACGGGGUCAAGGGCAUGGAGGUCCCUUCAGGAGUUGGGGGAGGCUGGCUCUCCGCCUGUCCACGUGGGCAGGUCAAGGGAGUGGAGGUUCCGUCAGGAGUGGCGGGAGGCUGGCUCUCCACCUGUCCACCUGGGCAGAUGAAGGGUGCAGAGGCGCCUUAAGGAGCGGUGAGAGGCUGGCUCUCCGCCUGUCCACUUGGGCCGAUGCUAUCUCCGAGCUGCAGCCUCAAAUUGGCUUUGUGCAUCUCAAGGCUGGGGAGGAGCCUGCAUGGAGGUGCCAGUGUCUGUGCAGGGGCCACGGGAUGCUGAGCUCAGGGCUGCUGUCUGCACCCCUUAAAUGGAAGAAUGGAGUGCUGGGGAAACAGGAUGGGCUGUCUUCCUGGAGAAGAAGAACUGGAGACCACAAAUCCUGUUAGAAACCACGGACUGUGGACUUUAGAGGCCACACAGCCUCAGUUGCAGGGGUGACAGUAAAUCUGCUCUUUUAAAAUCCUUUAUCUUAAAAAUUCUCACGCACAUCUAAAUGUAAAGAGAGAAGGAGAGCGAAUCCAUCGUCCAGGCUGAAAAAUCAGCCACAUCCUGCUACCCUGCCUCCAGCUGUGUCCCCACAUGCUUUAAAAUAAAUCACAGACAACAUGUCAUCUCUUCCACCUAUUUCGUGUCUCUAGCAAAUGGGUUCUCUUCUUCACAUCACCGCAGUGUAGUCAUUUCACCUGACAGUUAGUGAUGAUUCCCUAAUGUCAUCCAAUACCCAGUCCGUGUUCACUUUCUCUGGUGGCCUCUGAAGGUUUUU